GCCAUGGUGAAAUUGGUAGACACGCUGCUCUUAGGAAGCAGUGCUAGCGCAUCUCGGUUCGAAUCCGAGUGGCGGCA
rnacentral:tRNA from 1 species